rnacentral:rRNA from 1 species
UUUUGAUUUAAAUUAUUUGAACUUGAGUAGUAAUAGUUAUGUUCUUGAAACUUAAAGAAUUUGGCGGUAUUUCUAGUCUUUUUAGAGGAACCUGUUCUUUAAUUCGAUAAUCCACGUUGGACCUUGCUUAAAUUUUUAAUUUGUAUAUCGCCGUUAUUGAAAAUCUUUUUAGAGUUAAUUUCUUUAAUAUUUUUGGAUAUUUUUCAGGUCAAGGUGCAGUUUAUAUUUAAGUAGAAAUGGGUUACAUUAUUUUAAAAUAUACGGAUUAUUAAUUUUAAUUUUAUUAUGAAGGUGGAUUUGAAAGUAAUUUUAUUUAGAAUAUUAUUGUGAUUAUAGCUCUGAAGUAUGU